CUACCCAGGAAAGGAGCGAUCCAUUGUGAGGGGCCAGAGAGGCUUGGAGGAGAGGACUCCAGUGUUCCAAGACCCAAGGGAUGAGCAGAAAUUGGCCAGGGCGAGGAGGAAGAAUGGCCUUCUGGUGGAGGGAACAGCAGGCUCAAGCCUUAAGAAACUGGCAGCUUCCAGCUUCCACCACGCUGUGAGGAAGCUCAAGCAUCCACGUGGAAAAGCUGACAGCCCAUCUAAGAUCCCAGCCAAUGAUUGCAGCAACAACCAGACAUGAGAAUGAAUGAACCUCGAGAUGACUCCAAACCUCACUUGUUGAGUUAUCCUCCACCUUUGAGACCUCCACCUGAGGGAAGGAAGAGAAAACUGUAUCAGCAAAGGCAGAAAUGUUGGAAAGAAUAAAACCUGUCCAAGCAAA